CAGUGCUCGAGAAAUCCUCUUUUUUUCUGCAGAAGGCAAUUUCUGACAUUUCCGCCAAUGACCUGUUUCUGCUUUAGAAACACUCCUCACUGUGUGACUAUUUGGGCAAGAAGAGAGCAUUAGCGCUGCAGUACAAUGACCUUAAAACUGACUGUUUUCAUUCUGCUUUUUACACCAGCCCUGAUUCUGACUGCUGACCUUCUUCCACCGAUUU